rfam:Tupaia chinensis contig97853, whole genome shotgun sequence.
GUGCUUGUUUCAGUAGCACAUAUACUAAAAUCAGAAUGAUACAGAGAAGGUUAGCAUGGCCCCUGAGUGAGGAUGACUUACAGGUUUGUGAAGUAUUCCAUACAUUU